CGGGGACACCGGCACGGCCCUGCUCCGCCACUGGGCGUCAUUCUGCUCGGCGUAAAGUCACUAAUUUCCUAUUGAUCCCACCCAGAGCUCCCCUCUUCCGUCCCCCGUCUUCCUGGGGCAUCGCUUUAAUGGCUUUCUCGCCGGGACGAGUGUGCACACGCGUGUGCAGAGACAACAUGCAAUCAGCGCACGGAGAGUGUGCCAGGGGAGCAUGGAGCGUGCAGAGGGAGCGAUGGAGCGCUGCACACGUGGAUGGGGCGUGCAGGAGGGCACAUGGACUGUGCACACGGGGGCAGGCACCAGGACGUGCAGCAAGUGCGCACACAGGGUGCGAAGAGGAUGCACAGUGUGGAAGAGAACACGUGGAGAGCACACACACGGAGCGUGCAGCUAAGGCUGCAGAGUGUGCACAGAGGGUUUAUGGAGUGUGCAGUGUCCACUGAGCCUGCAUGGCCUUUGUGAGCGUGCCAGCCCUGCGUGUGUGUUCCAAGCAUGCACGGAGUCCAUGCAGAGAGCACCUGUGCAGAGUGUGCAGGGAGCUUGGGGAGGGAACAUGCACACAGCAUUUGCACGGGACAUGCACACAGCACAUGGUGAGUGUGCAGAGGGUGAGCACAGAGGGUGUGUGCAGUGCUUGCACAAAGCACACACAGAGCAUGAAUGGUGUGGUGGAAAGAGCGUGCACAAAGUGAGCAGCUGAAUGUGCUCAGAGCAUGCACAAGAGUGAGCCUGCAUGAGUGUGCAAAGAGUGUGUGCUGUGCUUGCACAGGGUGUGUGUGGGGUGUGUGAAGAGAGUGAGCACACAGCAGCUGAGCAUGCUUGGAGCGUGCACACGCACACGGGGAGCACACACACUGCACACCCAGCGACCCUGCAUGCACGCGUGUGUGCAAGAGCACGGUGCCCGCCAUGGCACAGCCCCCAUGCAUGGAGCAGGACAUGCACUGGCACACAAGCCACAACACGCACCAGGCAGCCUAAACAGGGGGCUCCCUCCUGCUCCCCAGCUCCCCAGCUGCAAUGUCCCCUAAACGUGGGCUGGAAGCCCUGGUCCAAGCAUUGCCCCUUUGCCAUGGUAGGAUUUUCUGUGAAAAUCCCCCGGUUUUGGGGCACACGGCGCUGUCUCUCCCCAAGCCUUCAUGGGAAAUAGGUUUAGGAUGAAAAGCAGAGAGCGGCCGGCCAAGCGAGCCGGGCCCUGGGGCACCCGGGGUGGGUGCCGGGGCACCCCGGAGUGCUCGGGGUGCACUACUAACCAAUAAACUAAACGUACUACCCGAAUGGUGGUGGCA
rnacentral:lncRNA from 1 species